rnacentral:rRNA from 1 species
UGAGCCUAGGUCGGAUUAGCUAGUUGGUGGGGUAAAGGCCUACCAAGGCGACGAUCCGUAACUGGUCUGAGAGGAUAUCAGUCACACUGGAACUGAGACACGGUCCAGACUCCUACGGGAGGCAGCAGUGGGGAAUAUUGGACAAUGGGCGAAGCCUGAUCCAGCCAUGCCGCGUGUGUGAAGAAGGUCUUCGGAUUGUAAAGCACUUUAAGUUGGGAGGAAGGGCAGUAAGUUAAUACCUUGCUGUUUUGACGUUACCAACAGAAUAAGCACCGGCUAACUUCGUGCCAGCAGCCGCGUAAUACGAAGGGUGCGCGUUAAUCGGAAUUACUGGGCGUAAAGCGCGCGUAGGUGGUUCAGCAAGUUGGAUGUGAAAUCCCCGGGCUCAACCUGGGAACUGCAUCCAAAACUACUGAGCUAGAGUACGGUAGAGGGUGGUGGAAUUUCCUGUGUAGCGGUGAAAUGCGUAGAUAUAGGAAGGAACACCAGUGGCGAAGGCGACCACCUGGACUGAUACUGACACUGAGGUGCGAAAGCGUG